UACUCCCUCCUUCUCCUGCUGCCACGUCAGAAAUUUGGUGAUCCUAAGGGUAACACGUGUCCCACUCCGUUGAAACGCACCGUCUCAUUUACGAAAGAGUUAAUUUGUUUGGAUUUUGUUUGGGCUUGACGUGUUUAAUUGCAAUCUUUUUAUCUGGGCUUAAGACUUUGUUUAGUGGGCUAAUGGAAAUCAAUCUCCAAGUCACUCUUCGCUUCAACAAUUGCGACAUUUGAUUUCUAGGGUUCAUACUGAUAUUCAAGGAUUAGGUGACACGUGUCCCUCUCCAUUAAUGGUUGUAGCAGCCGAAGAAAAUCAGUCCGAGUAACGUUGGACAAUUGUUUACGGCCAAACCCUGUUGGAAUCUGCAUGUGUCUAAUCGAAUCGUCUUCUCCUUACCGGCGGACGAACUACAAAAACGUUAUGGAAGUAGGCAACCUUCAAUCUUCGUCAUUAAUGCCCUCAUUAACAAUACCUCCCCACUACUCACACGACUUUUUACUCAAUACGUCCCUUUUUUUAUUCCCUUCAUUGAAUCUACAGCUAUAAAUGUAAGAGUUUAUUUUGGUGAAAAUCAUCAGUUCUUUACUCUCAAUCGUUACCAAACUUUCAGAAAUGAGAAUAUCAAACUUCUCUCCCAUGUUCUCCGAUCUGAGAGCCGGUCGUUCUAGCACCACCGUCGAGAUUUUGCCUGUUGGGAUUUUGGGAGUCGAGAUCUCUCCCUCUGUUAUGUCGUGUUUUGUUUUCUUCUCUAUAUAACAAUCUCACCGCUUGGAAGUUUUUAACUUUUGUGGUUGAGUUGAACAUUUGACUUGCUGAGACGAAGUAUGUGUGGUGAUUGGUGAACGAAGAUAUUAUUUUUAACAGGUUCCAUAUCAAAGAUUAUGUCAUAGGAUUUGAGGAUCUUGAAACUGUGUGCAAGUCGGAACCGCGUAAGUAUCAGUUCACAAUCCACUUGCAUGAGUUUAUUAAGUAACUACUUCUUCAAUGACUUUGACAGCGUGGUAGCAGUAUUAGGAUCUGGAUUUGGUUAAUCUAUGGUGAGCCAAGGCUUGCAAGGACAACCACUAAAUGCAGUCACCACUGCUGCUGGUUUUGCUAUCUUCCAAGCAAUAUUUUUCAAAGGGAGAUAUUAUUCUUUACUUUCUCACCGCUAUAUAUAUAUAUAAGGUUUCUUUCGUGUUGUAACUAAGACUGAUGUCUUGAUGCUUUUUGAAAUAUGAAUGAAGAGUGGUAAUAGAUGUGAGCAUCCCACCAGGGACAAGGUUUCUGAUGCUAGACCAUAUCCACAGGUUUGAAAUAAACUUCUAUGCUCUUGCAUUGAUGAAAGACUGAAUGUAUUAAAAAAAUACAAAGUGGAUUGAACCAUUCUCUGUUGUUUUGAGUGCAAGAUCCCGAAGUUAAACGGGCAAACGAGGAAAGGAUUUUUUUUUCUUUUCCUAAACACAGAAAUACUAAUCAGCUAUAGCUUUACAUCGGGUAUGAGAGUAUGGAAAAUGUAACUCUUAAGGACCAUCUGUAGGCGUCGGAUAACCCUAGGUUGAACAGGAGGCAGAGACUUGAGAUAUAUGUUGGUGUAUCUAGAGGGCUUUACUAUCCUCAUACAGAUUUUGCAAUAGCCAUCAACACACAGCAAUGUGAAGUCUGCUAACGUUCACUUGGAUGAGAAUUUCAUGUCAAAGUUGCAGACUUUCUAUCGCCUAAGACUGGUCCAGAUCUUGACCAGUCUUAUCCAAGUUGACACCUCUAUGCGGGAGACCAGUCAUUGGUCCAUCUCUUCCGAGAGAGAAACUGAAUUUCAUUUGAAUGGGCGACGAAGUUGGUGAAGAAAGGGAAAAAGGGAUCAAGGACAAUUUUCUUGAUGAGAAGUGAAGCUUGAAGAGGUUAAGAAGCAGAGGCGGACCCACGUUGGAUAAAGGGGUUGCACCUGCCACAGGUUAAAAUUAUAUAUUAGCAAGUCUAUACCACGUAUUGUGAGUUAUCAGAGAAGUGUUUGUUGCAAGCCCGUACCGGUUUUCAGACUCCAUCAUCUAAAACAACUGGAUCAGUGAAAAAAGUCGUUCAUGUGUUGUUAAUCUUUUUUUUUUUUCUUUCAACUCUGUGUUGUUAAUCUGAAUAGGGUUUUGAUCCUCAAUAGCAUAUUUUUCAUGUAAACUAAUGAUCCAAAUGGAUUUAUUUAGAUUAUAUUUGUACUUUUGAGAGCUAGAGAAACGAAUUUCACACAAGUAAUUUUGUGAAAUGAAUAUACAGAGUUCCUUAUGUCUUAAGAAAGUUGGGAUUAGAUUUUUGUAAGACGUGUACUAAAAGAUUCAACAAAUUACAGCUCAUUUACUUUUAUUUUUUCUAUAUAUUUAUUUGCAUAUAAGUUCUUUGGUGAUUUGUUACUUUUAAAAUUUUCACUACAUUGAAGUAACCCAGGUGUUUGAGGUGGGGAUUAGGCUAUGUAUAGCUCUACCAUGGUGCAAUUAAAGCAUGGAUUGGACUUGGAGGGAGAAUGAGAGAACAAGGUUGUAUAGUCACAAUGGUGUCCAUUAGUGAGAAUGGAAACGGAGAUAUAGCAGGGGUUCCAAUGACUAAAGUCUUCACGCAAAUGGUUGAGAGGGAAAAUGUGAUAAAAUAUCUAUUAGAAUGUCUAAUUAAAAUAAUUUUUUUGACAAAAUGUCUAAUUAAAAUAAUUCUAACAAUGAAGGUGAAGAAACCAAAAUUUUACAACAACCACAAACGGGAGAAAUAUUCUUCUGGACCACUUAUUCAAGAAGCGUUCAAAUUUUACUUCAUAAAUGAAGUAAUCUAUUUUUUGUUUGUUCAUCACUCUAUUAUGGAAUGAGAAAUGAAGUAGGAUUGGAGUAAUUUUACUUCAUUUUCAUUUUUACUCCAUUUUAGAGGAAAAAAUGGAGUUUUACAUUGGAGAUGCUCUAAUAAGAGUAAAUGUUAUUUUGAAAAUAAAAUAAAUAUUUAAACUCUCAAUCCAAAUUCCUAAACCUUAAACUCUAGACCUAAAACACUUAACCCCAAACCUUAACACAAUGAACUCUAAAGCACUAAAAAUUAAAUUUUAGGCUUCGACUGGUGACACGUAGUAUUAGAGUUGAGUUACAAUAAAAUGUACGAUUUGAUGUAACUUGUAGUAAAAACUAUGUGGUAGAAACUGUAGAUUUAUGUGGUGAGUUCGCAGUAAAAAUGUGAGUUAUUAUUUUAUUAAUAUUAUUUGAUUGGUAACAUUUUUGAUGUAUAAGUCGCAGUAUAUAUUAUUUUAAAAUAUAAAUAAUA